GGAGAUGCCCCUGUGAGGGUGGCAGAGAUGGAGCCAGGAAGUGUUGCAGAGAUUGGAAAACUCAAAGUUGGAGACUUAGUGGUAGCAGUAGGUGAAAAGGACACAAAAUGGGCAAAACAUGAAGAGGUAGUGGCCCUUGUCAGACAGUGCGGCAAUCACUUAGAGCUCAAACUAGUCACCCCAAACCUCUCUCAGGAUCACGACACCUCCCGAUCAGCCCCGGGAACCCCCAACACCCCAUUACGCAUGCAGAGCCCUCGCGAGAGCAUAUCAACACAGAGCAAUAAAUCAAAUCGUAGUCGACUUAGUGCCCCCUGGACCUUCAUGAGAAAAGGUUCUAAGGAGAAACAGGACAAGCCAGAGAAAAGCAAGGAAAUGGAGGAUGGGGAGGCAUUCCUUCACUGAUUGGCAGUCGUCCUAGUGAUGUGAUUGGUCAGUUGAAUACUGAUGUCAUAUCUUUGUUAGAGGCUCCGCCCAUUUGUCACGUUUUUGAUAUGAAAUUAAAAAUUUUUUUUACAUAUGCAAAUUUUGUUAAUGGUGCGGUUAUUUCAAUGAUAACCACAAAUAUUUUUAAAAAUCAUUAUAAACCAGCUGUGUGAUAAGUAAUUGUCAUUUAUGUUGCCAAUGUUAUAGAUGAUUUCAUAAGUCUAUGUAGAUUUUUGAUAUGUUUUGUUGUUAUUUGACAUCGAUAUCUGAAAAUCUUUUUGCAUCUUGAUUGUCAAAGAUGGGGCUACCUAUCAUGGUUAAAAAAUGUUUUGAGAGAAUAAUGAGGAAUAUUGACAUGUACUUCUUUUUGGGUUUGCCCUGCACAUGGAUAUAACUCAAUAUAUAUUGAGCAAAGUUUUGAUCAUUUCAGGGAUGUCCCUAAUUAUCACAUUUAUAUAGGAUAUGUAUAUUUAAGCUCAUAUCAAGUCGUAUAUCAAAAUUUGUCCAUUUACAGUUGAAACAUUGCUUCCAAGUGCUUUUCUUUACUGCAUUUUGUGCUUCCUAGAUUUUGUUAGAGUGCUAUUGACUGGCAAACAAGUGUUUCUUUACACAUCAGGAGAAUUCGCAUCAGUAUUUUUGUCUAGAAAUGUCUUUAAGCUAGUACGUUUUAUGUACUGCAAAUCUAUGAAGGAUUUUCUAGUUAUGCUUUUUACAGGAAAUACAGGUACAUUCAUGUGUAUAUAACAGUACAGCGAAAUCCUAACGGAUAGUCUAGGUACCUGGUACACGUACUUUGAGAGAUCAUCAUUUUGUACCAGGUACAACAUUUAGAGUCUGAAAUAUUGAUUUUGUUAAUUGUAAAAAAAAUCUUUGACUCUGAUGAAUGUUACAUGUAUAUAGUGACAUGAGCCUGUUCCAAGUUUUUCUAAGUCAUCAAUGAGUAUAAAUAUUCUUUUAAUUGUAAUCAAAAUGCCAGUAACAGAUUGCACAAAUUACAUCAGUCAUGACUAUUUCAUCUGUACAUUUUUUUUUAUUUCUGUUUUUACAAUUAAUAUCUAAACAUAUGGUGUUUAAAAAAAUAUGCAUUUCUUGUUGUAUAACGAAAUCCAUAUCUAGAAUAUACCACGGUAAUGCGAUUUAGUGUCAUAUUAAGUCAGCAGGUGGAUAUGUACUAGUAUACAUCUUGUGAGUGAUGCAAAUUUCCGAUUCUUUUCGUUUUAAUUAACUCAAAAACUAUUUCAAAUUUUCCAACGGAACGAAGGGAAGUUACUUUGGCACUGAAAAGUUAAACCUUUUUUUCUUUUUUUUUUAUCAUUAGUAAUAAUACGUAAACAAAAUCAGGUGUAAUUUGAUGGACUCUACACUCACUGUCUUACCUUAAAACUUUUUCAUACUUGUACACUAGACCACAAAUAAAAUUGUGCCAAAAUGCCUAUAUUGUGAUGUAAAAUAGAUAAAAUAUACUGUGAUGUAGUAACAUUUAUAUGUUUUCUAAGAGAUUUUUCUAUCCUUAGUACAUUUAUAGGUAGUAAAUAUUAUUGAUAAUAUCAAAAUUUGUAUUGUUUUGAAAUGUGCCCAUAUAUAAACAUGUAGUUAUAUUUUACAAAGUCAUAUAUUGAAUUAUACUUGCAAUAUACUAAUAUAUUUAUGGUAAAUUAUAGUAUUUUUUUCUACUUCCAGGCAGAAAUUGUAUAUGUGUACUUGGGAAUGCAAUGUUAAAAGUCAGUUGUUCUGAGUUAAUAGCAAUCAAGGUUAAAGAAAGGGACUUUACAUGUGUGAUAUAUAUAUACACUUGUGUGAUAUAUAUACAGUUCACCCAUGAUAUAUAUACACCUGUGAUAUAUACACUUCACUUGUGUGAUAUAGAGACCUGUGUGAUAUAUAGGGUUACCACAGUCAUGUAUGUGAAUUAAAGUAUCAACAUUUUUUGUUACAUUCAUGGAGUUACUAUAUAGUAUUAUAUACUUUCAAACUUGCUUCAAUUUUUGUUUCUACAUAAUAUUUCUAUACACCUGAACCAAUAUAUAUCAUUUUAUCAUAUAUAUAUGCUGUAUCAUUAAUAUAAUUUUGUGCAUAUGUUUACUCCUGUUUGUUGUUGAGUGGGAGCUUUUUUACAAUACUCAAUGUACAAGAGGAAACAAGAGGUUGUACUGUCAAACAGCAAUAAAGUAUUAAUUAUACUGU
rnacentral:misc_RNA from 1 species